rnacentral:ncRNA from 2 species
UAAUUGUAUUUUUGCCUUGCAGAUUUAAUUGUUAGAAAAUGGCUAACGAGUUUCUACCGCCAACCAAAAGUGGCGACAAUCCGCAAAUGUAUUCUUUUC